AAUCGCUAGUAAUCGCGAAUCAGCAUGUCGCGGUGAAUACGUUCCCGGGUCUUGUACACACCGCCCGUCACACCAUGGGAGUUGGUAACGCCCGAAGCCAGUGACCCAACCGGAAACGGAGGGAGCUGUCGAAGGUGGGACCGAUAACUGGGGUGAAGUCGUAACAAGGUACC
rnacentral:rRNA from 1 species